rnacentral:rRNA from 1 species
UGGGGAAUAUUGGACAAUGGGCGGAAGCCUGAUCCAGCAACGCCGCGUGAGGGAUGACGGCCUUCGGGUUGUAAACCUCUUUCAGCACAGACGAAGCGCAAGUGACGGUAUGUGCAGAAGAAGGACCGGCCAACUACGUGCCAGCAGCCGCGGUAAUACGUAGGGUCCGAGCGUUGUCCGGAAUUAUUGGGCGUAAAGGGCUCGUAGGCGGUUUGUCGCGUCGGGAGUGAAAACACCGGGCUUAACUCGGUGCUUGCUUUCGAUACGGGCAGACUAGAGGCAUUCAGGGGAGAACGGAAUUCCUGGUGCAGCGGUGAAAUGCGCAGAUAUCAGGAGGAACACCGGUGGCGAAGGCGGUUCUCUGGGAAUGUCCUGACGCUGAGGAGCGAAAGUGUGGGGAGCGAACAGGAUUAGAUACCCUGGUAGUCCACACCGUAAACGUUGGGCGCUAGGUGUGGGAUCCAUUCCACGGGUUCCGUGCCGCAGCUAACGCAUUAAGCGCCCCGCCUGGGGAGUACGGCCGCAAGGCUAAAAC